rnacentral:rRNA from 1 species
UGGAUCCAGACUUUGAUUAUGGCUCAGGAUGAACGCUAGCUACAGGCUUAACACAUGCAAGUCGAGGGGAAACGAUAUUGGAAGCAUGCUUCCGAUAGGCGUCGACCGGCGCACGGGUGAGUAACGCGUAUCCAACCUGCCCACCACUUGGGGAUAACCUUGCGAAAGUAAGACUAAUACCCAAUGAUAUCUCUAGAAGGCAUCUGAAAGAGAUUAAAGAUUUAUCGGUGAUGGAUGGGGAUGCGUCUGAUUAGCUUGUUGGCGGGGUAACGGCCCACCAAGGCAACGAUCAGUAGGGGUUCUGAGAGGAAGGUCCCCCGCAUUGGAACUGAGACACGGUCCAAACUCCUACGGGAGGCAGCAGUGAGGAAUAUUGGUCAAUGGACGAGAGUCUGAACCAGCCAAGUAGCGUGCAGGAUGACGGCCCUAUGGGUUGUAAACUGCUUUUAUAAGGGAAUAAAGUGAGUCUCGUGAGACUUUUUGCAUGUACCUUAUGAAUAAGGACCGGCUAAUUCCGUGCCAGCAGCCGCGGUAAUACGGAAGGUCCGGGCGUUAUCCGGAUUUAUUGGGUUUAAAGGGAGCGUAGGCCGGAGAUUAAGCGUGUUGUGAAAUGUAGACGCUCAACGUCUGCACUGCAGCGCGAACUGGUUUCCUUGAGUACGCACAAAGUGGGCGGAAUUCGUGGUGUAGCGGUGAAAUGCUUAGAUAUCACGAAGAACUCCGAUUGCGAAGGCAGCUCACUGGAGCGCAACUGACGCUGAAGCUCGGAAGUGCGGGUAUCGAACAGGAUUAGAUACCCUGGUAGUCCGCACGGUAAACGAUGGAUGCCCGCUGUUGGUCUGAAUAGGUCAGCGGCCAAGCGAAAGCAUUAAGCAUCCCACCUGGGGAGUACGCCGGCAACGGUGCAACUCAAAUGAAUUGACGGA